rnacentral:rRNA from 1 species
UACGUAGGUGGCAAGCGUUGUCCGGAUUUAUUGGGUUUAAAGGGUGCGUAGGCGGUUCUAUAAGUCAGUGGUGAAAUACGGCAGCUCAACUGUCGAGGUGCCAUUGAUACUGCAGAACUUGAGUACAGACGAGGUAGGCGGAAUUGACGGUGUAGCGGUGAAAUGCUUAGAUAUGUCUCAGAACACCGAUUGCGAAGGCAGCUUACUAUGGUCUUAUUGACGCUGAGGCACGAAAGCGUGGGGAUCAAACAGG